rnacentral:rRNA from 1 species
GAUGAACGCUAGCUACAGGCUUAACACAUGCAAGUCGAGGGGAAACGACAUCGAAAGCUUGCUUUUGAUGGGCGUCGACCGGCGCACGGGUGAGUAACGCGUAUCCAACCUGCCCACCACUUGGGGAUAACCUUGCGAAAGUAAGACUAAUACCCAAUGAUAUCUCUAGAAGACAUCUGGAAGAGAUUAAAGAUUUAUCGGUGAUGGAUGGGGAUGCGUCUGAUUAGCUUGUUGGCGGGGUAACGGCCCACCAAGGCGACGAUCAGUAGGGGUUCUGAGAGGAAGGUCCCCCACAUUGGAACUGAGACAAGGUCCAAACUCCUACGGGAGGCAGCAGUGAGGAAUAUUGGUCAAUGGGCGAGAGCCUGAACCAGCCAAGUAGCGUGCAGGAUGACGGCCCUAUGGGUUGUAAACUGCUUUUAUUAGGGAAUAAAGUGAGCCUCGUGAGGCUUUUUGCAUGUACCUUAUGAAUAAGGACCGGCUAAUUCCGUGCCAGCAGCCGCAGUAA